rnacentral:rRNA from 1 species
UGAGGAAUAUUGGUCAAUGGGCGGAAGCCUGAACCAGCCAAGUCGCGUGAGGGAUUAAGGCCCUGCGGGUCGUAAACCUCUUUUGCCGGGGAGCAGAGGUCCGGACGUGUCCGGGCCGGGAGAGUACCCGGAGAAAAAGCAUCGGCUAACUCCGUGCC